rnacentral:rRNA from 1 species
GACAGAGGGUGCAAACGUUGUUCGGAAUUACUGGGCGUAAAGCGCGUGUAGGCUGCUCUGCAAGUCGGGUGUGAAAGCCCCGGGCUCAACCUGGGAAGUGCACUCGAAACUGCAGAGCUCGAGUCCUGGAGAGGAAGGCGGAAUUCUCGGUGUAGAGGUGAAAUUCGUAGAUAUUCGGAGGAACACCAGAAGCGAAGGCGGCCAACUGGCCCGAUACUGACGCUGAGGCGCGAAAGCGUGGGGAGCAAACAGG